AACAGGAUUAGAUACCCUGGUAGUCCACGCCCUAAACGAUGUCUACUAGUUGUCGGGUUUUAAUUAACUUGGUAACGCAGCUAACGCGUGAAGUAGACCGCCUGGGGAGUACGGUCGCAAGAUUAAAACUCAAAGGAAUUGACGGGGACCCGCACAAGCGGUGGAUGAUGUGGAUUAAUUCGAUGCAACGCGAAAAACCUUACCUACCCUUGACAUGUACGGAAGGCCGGAGAGAUUUGGCUGUGCUCGAAAGAGAACCGUAACACAGGUGCUGCAUGGCUGUCGUCAGCUCGUGUCGUGAGAUGUUGGGUUAAGUCCCGCAACGAGCGCAACCCUUGUCAUUAGUUGCUACGAAAGGGCACUCUAAUGAGGCUGCCGGUGACAAACCGGAGGAAGGCGGGGAUGACGUCAAGUCCUCAUGGCCCUUAUGGGUAGGGCUUCACACGUCAUACAAUGGUACAUACAGAGCGCCGCCAACCCGCGAGGGGGAGCUAAUCGCAGAAAGUGUAUCGUAGUCCGGAUUGUAGUCUGCAACUCGACUACAUGAAGUUGGAAUCGCUAGUAAUCGCGGAUCAGCAUGUCGCGGUGAAUACGUUCCCGGGUCUUGUACACACCGCCCGUCACACCAUGGGAGCGGGUUUUACCAGAAGUAGGUAGCUUAACCGCAAGGAGGGCGCUUACCACGGUAGGAUUCGUGACUGGGGUGAAGUCGUAACAAGGUAACC
rnacentral:rRNA from 1 species